UAACACAUGCAAGUCGAGCGGCAGCAGGGAAAGUAGCUUGCUACUUUUGCCGUAGAGCGGCGGACGGGUGAGUAAUGCCUGGGAAAUUGCCCAGUCGAGGGGGAUAACAGUUGGAAACGACUGCUAAUACCGCAUACGCCCUACGGGGGAAAGCAGGGGACCUUCGGGCCUUGCGCGAUUGGAUAUGCCCAGGUGGGAUUAGCUAGUUGGUGAGGUAAUGGCUCACCAAGGCGACGAUCCCUAGCUGGUCUGAGAGGAUGAUCAGCCACACUGGAACUGAGACACGGUCCAGACUCCUACGGGAGGCAGCAGUGGGGAAUAUUGCACAAUGGGGGAAACCCUGAUGCAGCCAUGCCGCGUGUGUGAAGAAGGCCUUCGGGUUGUAAAGCACUUUCAGCGAGGAGGAAAGGUUGUUGGCUAAUAUCCNNCAGCUGUGACGUUACUCGCAGAANAAGCACCGGCUAACUCCGUGCCAGCAGCCGCGGU
rnacentral:rRNA from 1 species